rnacentral:lncRNA from 1 species
AGAUACACACAUACGUAUCAAUAAAAAUAAAUCUUAAAAGGAAGUGGAAAAAGGAGAAAGACAUCCCCCACUGUUAGCAAGGAUAGAGAAUUUACAUUUUUAAAAAAUUUUUAAGAUUUAUUUUGUGUGUGUAAGUGUCUAUGCACCACAUCCGGGCAGUGCCCACAGAGGCUAAAAGAGGGCAUUGAAUUCUCUGGAAGACAUUACAGACACUUGUGAGCUGCCAUGAGGUCCUCGGAAUCAAACUCAGGUGUUGUGGGAGAGCAUCCAGUGUUCUUAACCACUGAGCCAUCUCUCCAUCCCCCUCUGACUCUUCUUUUUAGACAGUGCCACCUUGAAGUCCGUCUGAAAACCAGAGGCUGAGUGGGCUUUGCACUGUUGAUAGUACCAAAGAUAUGUACAAUUGUCACAUUUAAGAAAACACAAAAUUCUGCUAGAUAGUAUAUACUGUGUAGUCAUAAUUAUCCCCGAGAACAGUGCCUUUCUUAGAUCUGCUCAGCUCUGUCUUACCCGGUUCAACUUUCUCAGUGUAUUGACCUGAUGAACUGGUUUUUAUCAGAAGAAACCGAAGGUAGAGAUGGAGUAGUGAGCCCCAGUUUCUGUGGCUGUAAGUGGCGAGGCCGAGGCUGAUUCUGUCCACUGUUCUUUUAUUGUCCCACACCAGCUCCUUUCAGACAGCCCUUCUUCCUCUCAGUUCUAUUUGAAGCCUAAUUCAGAUUCACUGCUAAGAGUGAUGUUUCCUGGGAGCAUCAGGCUACACCAAACUGUGCAGAUAAUAGCUUGAAGAAUUGGGUAAGCAGGUGCAGCCCUCACCUCUCCGAAUAUUUUUUUCAAAGCCUGAAAAAUCAGACUGUGUUUUUGAUUAAAGACCUAGGUGAAGACCAGUGAGAUGGCUCAGCAGGCAAAUGCAGCUGCCACCAACCCUGGUGACCUGAGUUCAGCCCCAGGAGUCAGGUGGUGGAGGAGAGAACUAGCCCCUGGGGGUAUCCUCUGACCUUCACACACAGAUAUAAAAAAUGACUAGCAAUUACAAAUAGAAGUGGGACUAGAACAAUGCCCAGCAGUUAAAAGCACAUAGUGGGGGCUGGUGAGAUGGCUCAGUGGGUAAGAGCACCCGACUGCUCUUCCGAAGGUCCGAAGUUCAAAUCCCAGCAACCACAUGGUGGCUCACAACCAUCCGUAACGAGAUCUGACGCCCUCUUCUGGAGUGUCUGAGGACAGCUACAGUGUACUUACAUAUAAUAAAUAAAUAAAUCUU